GGCUACACAUGCAAGUCGAGCGGCAGCGGGAAAGUAGCUUGCUACUUUUGCCGGCGAGCGGCGGACGGGUGAGUAAUGCCUGGGAAAUUGCCCAGUCGAGGGGGAUAACAGUUGGAAACGACUGCUAAUACCGCAUACGCCCUACGGGGGAAAGCAGGGGACCUUCGGGCCUUGCGCGAUUGGAUAUGCCCAGGUGGGAUUAGCUAGUUGGUGAGGUAAUGGCUCACCAAGGCGACGAUCCCUAGCUGGUCUGAGAGGAUGAUCAGCCACACUGGAACUGAGACACGGUCCAGACUCCUACGGGAGGCAGCAGUGGGGAAUAUUGCACAGUGGGGGAAACCCUGAUGCAGCCAUGCCGCGUGUGUGAAGAAGGCCUUCGGGUUGUAAAGCACUUUCAGCGAGGAGGAAAGGUUGAUGCCUAAUACGUAUCAACUGUGACGUUACUCGCAGAAGAAGCACCGGCUAACUCCGUGCCAGCAGCCGCGGUAAUACGGAGGGUGCAAGCGU
rnacentral:rRNA from 1 species